CCUACGGGCGGCAGCAGUGAGGAAUAUUGGUCAAUGGCCGUAAGGCUGAACCAGCCAAGCCGCGUGAAGGAAGAAGGUUCUAUGGUUUGUAAACUUCUUUUAUAGGGGAAUAAAGGUAUCCACGUGUGGAUAUUUGCAUGUACCCUAUGAAUAAGCAUCGGCUAACUCCGUGCCAGCAGCCGCGGUAAUACGGAGGAUGCGAGCGUUAUCCGGAUUGAUUGGGUUUAAAGGGUGCGUAGGUUGUUUUUUAAGUCAGCGGUGAAAGUUUGUGGCUCAACCAUAAAAUUGCCGUUGAAACUGGAAAACUUGAGUGUGUUUGAGGUAGGCGGAAUGCGUGGUGUAGCAGUGAAAUGCAUAGAUAUCACGCAGAACUCCGAUUGCGAAGGCAGCUAACUAAGCCAUAACUGACACUGAAGCACGAAAGCGUGGGGAUCAAACAGGAUUAGAUACCCGGGUAGUC
rnacentral:rRNA from 1 species